GACGAACGCUGGCGGUGUGCUUCACACAUGCAAGUCGAACGAGGUAGCAAUACCUAGUGGCGGGCGGGUGAGUAACGCGUGGGAAUCUGCCUUUAGAUGGGGGAUAACGGGUCGAAAGACUCGCUAAUACCGCAUAUGACGAAAGUUGAAAGGAGUAAUCCGUCUAAAGAUGAGCCCGCGUCCGAUUAGCUAGUUGGUAGAGUAAAAGCCUACCAAGGCGACGAUCGGUAGCUGGUCUGAGAGGAUGAUCAGCCACAAUGGGAACUAGAGACACGGCCCAUACUCCUACGGAGGCAGCAGUGGGAAUUUACGCAAUGGGCGAAAGCCUGACGUAGCGACACCGCGUGAGCGAAGAAGCCCCUUGGGGUGUAAAGCUCUGUCAGCUGGAACGAAAAAAAUGACGGUACCAGCAGAGAAGCAUCGGCUAACUACGUGCCAGCAGCCGCGGU
rnacentral:rRNA from 1 species